rnacentral:rRNA from 1 species
UACGGAGGAGGCAAGCGUUAUCCGGAAUUAUUGGGCGUAAAGCGUCCGCAGGUGGCACUUCAAGUCUGUCGUCAAAGACUGGGGCUUAACCCUGGAAAGGCGGUGGAAACUGAAGCGCUAGAGUGCGGUAGGGGUAGAGGGAAUUCCCGGUGUAGCGGUGAAAUGCGUAGAGAUCGGGAAGAACACCGGUGGCGAAAGCGCUCUACUGGGCCUGCACUGACACUGAGGGACGAAAGCUAGGGGAGCGAAAGGG